rnacentral:piRNA from 1 species
UUAAAGGUGCUGAACGAUGUUGUU